GGUUGUAAAGUACUUUCAGCAGUGAGGAAGGAGGUAUCGUUAAUAGCGGUAUCUUUUGACGUUAGCUGCAGAAGAAGCACCGGCUAACUCCGUGCCAGCAGCCGCGGUAAAUACGGAGGGUGCGAGCGUUAAUCGGAAUUACUGGGCGUAAAGCGCAUGCAGGUGGUUUGUUAAGUCAGAUGUGAAAGCCCGGGGCUCAACCUCGGAAUUGCAUUUGAAACUGGCAGGCUAGAGUACUGUAGAGGGGGGUAGAAUUUCAGGUGUAGCGGUGAAAUGCGUAGAGAUCUGAAGGAAUACCGGUGGCGAAGGCGGCCCCCUGGACAGAUACUGACACUCAGAUGCGAAAGCGUGGGGAGCAAACAGGAUUAGAUACCCUGGUAGUCCACGCCGUAAACGAUGUCUACUUGGAGGUUGUGGCCUUGAGCCGUGGCUUUCGGAGCUAACGCGUUAAGUAGACCGCCUGGGGAGUACGGUCGCAAGAUUAAAACUCAAAUGAAUUGACGGGGGCCCGCACAAGCGGUGGAGCAUGUGGUUUAAUUGGAUGCAACGCGAAGAACCUUACCUACUCUUGA
rnacentral:rRNA from 1 species